rnacentral:rRNA from 1 species
UACGAGAGGUGCAAGCGUUGUCCGGAUUUAUUGGGCGUAAAGCGUUUCUAAAGGCGCUUUUGUAAGUUAUCUUUCAAAGACCGAGGCUUAACCUCGGGAAGGGAGAUAAUACUGCAAGAGUUGAAAUAUUUCGGGGUUACUAGAACUAUUGGUGUAGGGGUGAAAUCCGUUGAUAUUAGGAAGAACACCGGUGGCGAAGGCGGCCAUCUGGCUCGGUACUGACGCUCAGGUUCGAAAGCGUGGGGAGCAAACAGG